rnacentral:rRNA from 1 species
AGUUUGAUCAUGGCUCAGAUUGAACGCUGGCGGCAUGCCUUACACAUGCAAGUCGAACGGCAGCGCGGGGCAACCUGGCGGCGAGUGGCGAACGGGUGAGUAAUAUAUCGGAACGUGCCCUGGAGUGGGGGAUAACGCAGCGAAAGUUGCGCUAAUACCGCAUACGAUCUAAGGAUGAAAGCGGGGGAUUCGCAAGAACCUCGUGCUCCUGGAGUGGCCGAUAUCUGAUUAGCUAGCUGGUGGGGUAAAGGCCUACCAAGGCAUCGAUCAGUAGCUGGUCUGAGAGGACGACCAGCCACACUGGAACUGAGACACGGUCCAGACUCCUACGGGAGGCAGCAGUGGGGAAUUUUGGACAAUGGGCGCAAGCCUGAUCCAGCAAUGCCGCGUGAGUGAAGAAGGCCUUCGGGUUGUAAAGCUCUUUUGUCAGGGAAGAAACGGUGCGGGCUAAUAUCCCGCACUAAUGACGGUACCUGAAGAAUAAGCACCGACUAACUACGUGCCAGCAGCCGCGGUAAUACGUAGGGUGCAAGCGUUAAUCGGAAUUACUGGGCGUAAAGCGUGCGCAGGCGGUUUUGUAAGUUUGUCGUGAAAUCCCCGGGCUCAACCUGGGAAUUGUGAUGAAGACUGCAAGGCUAGAAUCUGGCAGAGGGGGGUAGAAUUCCACGUGUAGCAGUGAAAUGCGUAGAGAUGUGGAGGA